AAUGUUCUUGGUUUUUUGCUGAAUCUCUCAAUUCCCAAAAUGAAACUGGUUGAGUGAUAUUGGUAUCUUUUUGUUUUAACAUGCAUUCGAAAAUUUUCAUAUUUUUACACUCCGUUUGGAUUGAGUGCAACGCGGUUAUUAAUGUAUCUUAUUGUAUAGUAUAGUUUAUAUUUUUAACAUGUUUGUAAAGAUUGGUAUGGUACUGGG
rnacentral:misc_RNA from 1 species